GCGGACGUGGUGAAAUUGGUAGACACACUGGAUUUAGGUUCCAGCGGCGUAAGCUGUAAGAGUUCGAGUCUCUUCGUCCGCACCA
rnacentral:tRNA from 1 species